CCGGUCGCGGUCUGGGUGAGGUGCCGGGUCAGGACCUCGGCUGCGGUGUCGGCGUCGCGGGCGAGGGCCGCCUCCUCCAGCCGGC
rnacentral:tRNA from 1 species